CGGACGAACGCUGGGCGGCGUGCCUAACACAUGCAAGUCGAGCGAGGUUGCGGAUGGGUGCUUGCACCCUGAAGCUACCUAGCGGCGGACGGGUGAGUAACGCGUGAGUAACCUGCCUUAUACAGGGGGAUAACAACGAGAAAUCGUUGCUAAUACCGCAUAAGACCACGGUAUCGCAUGGUACAGGGGUAAAAGGAGCAAUCCGGUAUAAGAUGGACUCGCGUCCCAUUAGCUAGUUGGUGAGAUAACAGCCCACCAAGGCAACGAUGGGUAGCCGACCUGAGAGGGUGAUCGGCCACACUGGGACUGAGACACGGCCCAGACUCCUACGGGAGGCAGCAGUGGGGAAUAUUGCGCAAUGGGGGGAACCCUGACGCAGCAACGCCGCGUGGAGGAAGAAGGUCUUCGGAUUGUAAACUCCUGUCUUCUGGGACGAAUAAUGACGGUACCAGAGGAGGAAGCCACGGCUAACUACGUG
rnacentral:rRNA from 1 species